AACGAACGCUGGCGGCAUGCUUAACACAUGCAAGUUGAACGAAUUUUCUUGGCUUGCCAAGGAAGUUAGUGGCAAAACGGGUGAGUAACACGUGGGAAUCUACCUGGUAGUACGGAAUAACAAUUGGAAACGAUUGCUAAUACCGUAUAUCCUCUAAGGAGGAAAGAUUUAUCGCUACCAGAUGAGCCCGCGGUAGAUUAGGUAGUUGGUGAGGUAAUGGCUCACCAAGCCGACGAUCUAUAGCUGGUCUGAGAGGACGAUCAGCCACACUGGAACUGAGACACGGUCCAGACUCCUACGGGAGGCAGCAGUGGGGAAUAUUGGACAAUGGGCGCAAGCCUGAUCCAGCAAUGCCGCGUGAGUGAAGAAGGCCUUAGGGUUGUAAAGCUCUUUCAAUAGGGAAGAUAAUGACGGUACCUAUAAAAGAAGUUCCGGCUAACUCCGUGCCAGCAGCCGCGGUAAGAGUACUCUAU
rnacentral:rRNA from 1 species